UUCUUUACUAUGCAAAGUAUUCCAAGACAAGGUCUGCUGUGUGAAUUCUCCAUCCUAUAUUUCUGCAAAGGUUACCCAGAAUCCCACAUAAGAAUGGACUGUAGACAUCGUGGACAGAGGUGAACAAUAUUGUGAUGCUUAGAUCUUGAGAACUAAUGAAAGGAUGAUAGCUAUUAAAAGGAGACUAUAGGCACCCAGACCACUUCUUCUCAUUGAUUACCAUUAACCCUGCUAUCUAAAAAUAAAAAAUAAAAAAAUAUAAUAGCAUUUUCAGAGAAACUACACUGUUUAUAUUGCAGGGUUAAGGCUACCUCUAGUGGCUGUCAAAAGCUGUUUAAUGGAGAUUAACUUGGUGACUCAACGUCAUCAUGCUACUUUAAAUUCUCCUUCCUCCAUGUUGAUACAAAAAAAGCUAAAUGAUAAGCAUUACAUCAAAGUUAGCAAUGUAUUGGUCCC